GCUCCAAUAGCGUAUAUUAAAGUUGUUGCGGUUAAAAAGCUCGUAGUUUGAUCUCAGCUUAUGCUGUAUGGUUCACUCAUUCUGAGUGACUACUGUUCAGCUGAGCAAUGGAUCGCUUUUUCUACUGAUGCUCUUCACCGAGUGUCAAUAGUGAACGAUACCUUUACUUUGAACAAAUUAGAGUGCUCAAAGCAGGCUUAUAUGCCUAAAUAAACUUGCAUGGAAUAAUGGAAUAGGACCUAGGUUCUAUUUUGUUGGUCUCCUGAAUCUAAGGUAAUGAUUAAGAGGGACAGACGGGGGCAUUCGUAUUGCUGCGCUAGAGGUGAAAUUCUUGGACCGCAGCAAGACGAACUACAGCGAAAGCAUUUGCCAAGAAUGUUUUCAUUAAUCAAGAACGAAAGU
rnacentral:rRNA from 1 species